CCCUUGUAGGGCAGGUUCUUCACGGCGUCGAUCACGGCCUCCUUGGUGCUGUGGGUGUUGAGGUGCCACUCGAUCCUGGGGUCUCCACUGUACUGGGCCAGACCUGUGGGUCAACACCAGAGGAAGUCUCAGCACCGCAAAGGCUCGGACCAGGUUCUCAAGGAAGGUCCUGACCAGCCUGAAGUUGAUCCGACCGAUGCUCCAGGAGCCGUCCACCAGGAUGACGAUGUCGGCGACGGCCGGGGUCUUACACAUGAAGCCCACGUUGGCUGCAGAGACGGAGAGACACAGGGUCAGAACCUGGGCCACGGGGAAAACAUCUGGCCUUCAGCCUCACCUUGACUGUGGAUGUUUCCUGUGUGAAAAAGAAGACGCUGCAGAGUGACAGCUGAGCUGCAGCAGUUGUAAAGUGUCUAAGAACAAGGAGCUGGACCUCCGUCCACCGGUCACCUGUCGAGGGACAAGGAGGAACCAAUCACCAGUCUGGGGCGUGUCCUAAUGUCAGCAGAUGUUAUUCAUGAACAAGCGACAACCGCCUCUGAUCCACC